GGCGGGGUAGCUCAGUUGGCUAGAGCGUGGGACUCAUAAGCCCNNUCAUAAGCCCGAGGUCGUGGGUUCAAUCCCCACCCCCGCUACCA
rnacentral:tRNA from 1 species